rnacentral:rRNA from 1 species
GAUGCAGCCAUGCCGCGUGUGUGAAGAAGGACCUUCGGGUUGUAAAGCACUUUCAGUAGGGAGGAAGGUAGUGUAGUUAACACCUGCAUUAUUUGACGUUACCUACAGAAGAAGCACCGGCUAACUCCGUGCCAGCAGCCGCGGUAAUACGGAGGGUGCGAGCGUUAAUCGGAAUUACUGGGCGUAAAGCGCAUGCAGGCGGCCUGUUAAGUCAGAUGUGAAAGCCCGGGGCUUAACCUCGGAAUUGCAUUUGUAAACUGGCAGGCUAGAGUCUUGUAGAGGGGGGUAGGAAUUUCAGGUGUAGCGGUGAAAUGCGUAGAGAUCUGAAGGAAUACCAGUGGCGAAGGCGGCCCCCUCGGACAAAGACUGACGCUCAGAUGCGAAAGCGUGGGGAGCAAACAGGAUUAGAUACCCUGGUAG